rnacentral:misc_RNA from 1 species
CUGGGUCACCGAGCGCUCCGGCGCUCACCCCCCACCCUUCGCUUCCCGCCCCAUGAUCGGCGUCAGGCGGGCCGGCCCUCUGGCCGGCCCUCCGGCCGAAACGCAAACUCUUGCAACCCUUUGCAGCCUGAAGUAAAAAACAAAUAGUUA